AAUAAGAUGCCUGAAUAAAGGGCUAUUUUGAUAGAAUAGAUUAUAUAUGCUACAUAUUCUUAUUA
rnacentral:tRNA from 1 species